rnacentral:tRNA from 1 species
AAUAAAUUUAUGUGAGUUUUCUAAACUUGUUGUGGGAAAUUACCCGUUUAUUU